rnacentral:sRNA from 1 species
AGUCGCCGCCGCCGCGCCGCCAUGGGGAAGCGACAGCACCAAAAGGACAAAAUGUACAUUACCUGUGCUGAAUACACUCACUUUUAUGGUGGCAAGAAGCCAGAUCUCCCACAAACAAAUUUUCGUCGUUUACCUUUUGACCACUGCAGGUAAGAGUUUUGCGAGUUUACCUUUCCCUUGUAAUUGUUCUCUGAUCCUGUCUGAUAGUGAAUCUGCCCCUUGUGGAUGUGGGGUUAUGCGUAAAAGUGUGCCUUGAAGAUGUGGCCCUUCAGUUCAUGUUGGGAGAAGAUGCAGAGUCCUCGUCAUGAUGUUAGGAGCUUGCCUUGGUGUUGGAUCCUGCUCUAGUCCUUCACCAGGGGUGGCACAAACACUAUUGUAGUUGGAGGAGAAGGUUGGUGAGAGAGGGAGGUGGCCAGGCUGCCCAGAGAGGGCUCCCUGGGACAGCAUUUCAGGAGGUCACCAUGCCAGGCUCAGCCAGCCCACAUCCUGACCAGGGUGCGUGGCAACUCACCAGGAAUGACUCUGUCCUUUUUCAGUCUCUCUCUGCAGCCCUUUGUCUACCCAG